AACCACACAACAACCUUUGCAGCCAGCGCACAAAGAACUUCAGCCAAUUGCAAAUAUGAUUGCCGUCAGCAGCAAGUCCUUCCUUCUCGCCCUCCUGGUGUUGGCGGUCGUCUGCAGCCUGGCAGCCGCCCAGUUCGGUUUCGGACGUGGAGGAUACGGAAGGGGCUAUGGGGGCUACGGAGGAGGCUUCGGCCGCGGAUACGGAGGAGGCUAUGGCCGCGGCUACGGUGGAUACGGCCGUGGAUUCGGAGGCUACGGACGUGGAUUCUACGGCUGAGCAGAUGAUUCGAUUAUACGGAUGACUACUGAACAAGCCUACCCGGAAGAACAAUAACGGCGUUGAUGGGACUCAAAACGCAACCUAGAAGAAUAAAUUAUUUAUUUAUGAUUAGAGAUGUGCCUUGCAAAGCUUCUUGUACUGGUAUUUUUAGUGAUGCCAACAAAGCAAUCAGCUCGUUUACGACA